GCACAAUUUGUAUCCAGCCACCUGGUAAUGAUCACACUUUUGGGACAACAGGAUUAGCUGUUGCUUUGUACAAGACAUCCUCCCCAUUCCUGUGUGAAUAGUGCAAGUUUAUCCGUCACCAGUGCUAUGCAGAAGAUCUGGCAGGGGUGAAGGAUUGAGAAAGACGUGAUCCUGCAUUUAAUAAUAUGUGAGCAGCUCACUUU
rnacentral:lncRNA from 14 species